rnacentral:rRNA from 1 species
CCCUUAGACGUUCUGGGCCGCACGCGCGCUACACUGACGAAGGCAACGAGCUUUCCUUUACCGAAAGGUACGGGUAAUCUUUUGAAACUUCGUCGUGCUGGGGAUAGGUCCUUGCAAUUUUUGAUCUUAAACGAGGAAUGCCUAGUAAGCGCAAGUCAUCAACUUGCGUUGAUUACGUCCCUGCCCUUUGUACACACCGCCCGUCGCUACUACCGAUUGAAUGGUUUAGUGAGGCCUUCGGAUCCGCGACUCGUUUUGUGGAGAAGUUGGACAAACUCAGUCAUUUAGAGGAAGUAAAAGUCGUAACA